CUUGUACACACCGCCCGUCACACCAUGGGAGCGGGUUCUGCCAGAAGUAGUUAGCCUAACCGCAAGGAGGGCGAUUACCACGGCAGGGUUCGUGACUGGGGUGAAGUCGUAAACAAGGUACC
rnacentral:rRNA from 1 species